rnacentral:rRNA from 1 species
GACGAACGCUGGCGGCGUGCUUAACACAUGCAAGUCGAACGAAGUGGCGGACGGGUGAGUAACGCGUAAUCAACCUGCCCUUCAGAGGGGGAAAACAGUUGAAAACGACAGCUACUACCGCAUACUGAAGGAGGAGAUUGCGUCUGAUUAGCUAGUUGGAGGGGUAACGGCUCACCAAGGCGAUGAUCAGUAGCCGGUCCUGGAGUAUGAACGGCCACAUGGGGACUUGGACACGGCCCAGACUCCUACGGGAGGCAGCCGUGGGGAAUCGUCCGCAAUGGACGGAAGCCUGACGGAGCAACGCCGCGUGAGUGAUGACGGCCUUCGGGUUGUAAAGCUCUGUUAAUCGGGACGCGGUACCGGAAUAGAAAGCCACGGCUAACUACGUGCCAGCAGCCGCGGUAAUAC